GCGAUACUAGCUCAGUUGGUAGAGCGCAACCUUGCCAAGGUUGAGGUCACGAGUUCGAGCCUCGUGUAUCGCUCCA
rnacentral:tRNA from 1 species